GGUUUGUUUGGGCUUUUUUGCACAAUCAUCUUUUUCUUUUUUUUAAAUGUAUGUAUUUAUAUCUCUUGUCUGCUCUCAUGCUUAAAGGGAUUUGUUGUUGAGGAGGAAAGAAGCUGUUCUGUUUUUUUUUCUUGAUAGAUACGCUUUAUUUUUUCCCCCCCUUUUUGGGGGCAUUGCUUUUUAAUGGGAGGAAUAUACUUGCCCUUGGAAAAAAAAACCCACACUCGGAGGAUUAAAUUUUCUUUUCUUUUUUUUUUUUUUCGCUCUUUCUCCCUUUCCAGGACUCUUUUUAAGUGGUGGGUUAAUUCUUUGUAGCUGCUGUCUGGUUGCAAAGGACAUGGGAAAGCGUCUGUCGUGCUAUAGCUGCGAUGUACAGUAUGUCUUAUCUAUGAUUGUAUGCAAAAUAGAUGUUUGAUUUUCCUUGUAAGUGGGAGACUUUUGAUUUUGAGUCGCCGGAGCCCAUGUUUAGUUCGGAGGUCUUGGGAGGGAGCUGCAAAGGCCUGCUGUGGCCAUUGGAGGAAGCUUCAGGCACCAGGGAAAAUGUAAAGACCGUCUUACAAAUAGAUUUGUGGGUGUGUGUCAGGGGGAGGAGGGAGGGAGAGUGACAAAGUGUUAUUCUAAUGACCCUUUAUGUAAAUAUCUGUGUUAAAAAAGCAAACAAAUUGCAUAUUUACUUGUGCCGUGUAUUCACUCAGGCCUGGCUCGGGUGGGUGUGUUUUAAAAUAUCUCAGCAGAUUUCUGUUUCAAUUUGCAUGUAUUAUUAUUAUUUUUCCCCACCGCCUGAAUGUCCGGGGGGUAAGAGGAUUUCAAAUUCCUCUUCUGCAUGACAGAGAGGAAAGGGGUGGUGGGGGGGAAGGCUUGUGACUCCGAUAGCAUUUCAGGUUUAUUCCAAUUAAUAGAAAUUAGUUUACAAGAAUCACCACCGCAGGGUCACUGUGCCCUAGCUCCGGCUAAUCAAAUUGCUUAGAGCGACUGAUUAAAUUACCAAGAAUUCCAAGAAAUCUGCAGCCUGAAUGCAAAGUUAUUGAACAUUUCCUGAGGGUUGUUUUUUUUUUUAAAUUUCUCAGCAAAGUGCCCAGGCUGAAAUACUCAGCACUGUGUUAAAACAAAAUAGGAGGAAAGCCUUGUAACCGAUAGCCCGCAUCUGUCAUUAAAAAUAGCCCAGUAAGGAGUAGGAAUCAGACUAAGAUGAUACUUGAGAUGAUGCAGACGAGCUUUAAAGACGUUUCCCUUUGUAGUUGGAAAGUAAUAUAUAUAAUUCAGAGUGAGCAUAGCGUUUACUUAUUAGACUCUAAGCUCUUGGGGACAUAGAAAGCUUGUUUACCCACUUUAGCAAAAUUACUGGUGUCAUAGAAGUGGACUCAGCAACAAAUGAUACGAUAAGUAUAAUGCCAAGCUCGCUUUUAUUUUUUUAUCGUGCCUUUAUUAAUUCAUUUUUUUAAAGAUCCCCUUCCUGCUCCCCCCUUCGCACAGCCUGAGUCUUCGACGGUGGCGGCUGAAGGCAAUGUUUGCAGAAAGUUGGGAAGUGGAGAAGAUUUUUUUGUCCGAUUGAUGAUUUAUCAGGACGGCUGUUAAAAUUGGCACCUCGCAGAGCAGAGAUCUUGCUCUGCCCGAAACCUCACAGGUCCACGCUACUAAAUGUCAGAAGUGGAAAACAUUUUGAUCCCAGAAGGAAAACUUCGGGAGUUAAAAGUUUAAGCCUGUUUCCUGCAGAAACAAAGGGCCUGAUUCUGAGCUUGUUGAAAUAAAAAGGGAGACUCCCAUUAAAUGCCAGGGGCUUGGAUGGGGCCCGGAUUUCUUUUUUUAAACAUAUUAUUUUUCAGUUAUUUUUUUAUAUAACUUGUUGGACAUCUGUGCCGAGUUAGCAUUAUCUGCCUUUCAUUUCCUUCCUCCAAAUAAAAUAUCGAUGCUUAGUUUUUUAUGUGCUUUUGAAUCGUCAGAACAGUUCGGAUUCACUAAUUAUUAAAGAAUUUAGUUAGUUGAUUGGAAUAGAUGAGUAACUGCAGGGGAAAGCAUUUGUUGCCUUGUUUGUCUCUGGAAAUUUUUCGGAUCUCUGCCUUGCCUUUUAAAAACAGAGAGGGUUAUGGCAAACUAUAUUUGAGAGUUUCUUUUUUGUAUCUACCGGACCAGAAACUGUUUUUUUAAAAUGUUAUACUAGUCAUUACAGUGUUAAUGUAGGCAUUGAUGGAGUUAUCGAUUAUUUAAAUCCCAUAUAUCAAUAGCAGCAUCAUGUAGCGACUGCCAAGUUAUGAGGAGGGGCUUUUGUUUCUUUUCCCACCUUUUGGAGGGGGUUUGGGGGUUUUUUUUUCCCUUCAGUUUGUUUUCACUCUUAGUUUGAAGAAUUGGAUUUCCUCUUUGCUUUUCUCUUUCGCGACCCCACCUAAAAUGGCUAGGAGAAUUUUAACUCUUUACUGAGAUGAACAAGUCCAAUGGGACUUCCCAGGUCUUAAGUCAUUUAAAAUAAUAAUGAUAAAAGCUGCAGCCAGCUGUAAUCAGUUAGAUUUCAAGAGGAAGGGACAAAGCAAUCCGGACUCAUGGUCGAGGUGAUAUCUUUUAUUAGACCAAAUAGAUUUUUGCAAAAAAA